rnacentral:misc_RNA from 1 species
ACUGAAUAAACUAUCAUCCCCAAUAUUUCAUUCCAUUCACGGAGCAGCCACUAGAAAAAGUGAAUCCUAAAACCACAUGUCCUAUGCAAGAAAGAAAAAUGAUCAAGUGAAGCACUCUAUGUCACAAUCCAUUCUCAAUAGUGGUUGCUGGCAAUAGUUAAUCAUUUACUCAUUAAACCAGAACCCAGGUACAGGAAACAACUUGUACCUCUUUAUCACUCCAUGUUCAUUGACCAUGAAAAAUGAAAGUAAUAUUACUGUGCCCAAAAAAUAAUUUCUGAAGCCAUGCAGAAAGAAAUAAAAACUAACCUUUGUCAGUAAAAUUGGAAUCAA